rnacentral:rRNA from 1 species
AUUGAACGCUGGCGGCAUGCCUUACACAUGCAAGUCGAACGGCAGCACGGGAGCAAUCCUGGUGGCGAGUGGCGAACGGGUGAGUAAAGUAUCGGAACGUGCCCAGUCGUGGGGGAUAACGUAGCGAAAGUUACGCUAAUACCGCAUACGAUCUAUGGAUGAAAGCGGGGGAUCGCAAGACCUCGCGCGAUUGGAGCGGCCGAUAUCAGAUUAGGUAGUUGGUGGGGUAAAGGCUCACCAAGCCGACGAUCUGUAGCUGGUCUGAGAGGACGACCAGCAACACUGGGGAUGUGACACGGCCCAGACUCCUACGGGAGGAAGCAGUGGGGAAUUUUGGACAAGGGGCGAAAGCCUGAUCCAGCCAUGCCGCGUGCAGGAUGAAGGCCUUCGGGUUGUAAACUGCUUUUGUACGGAACGAAAAGGUUUGGGCUAAUAAGCUGAGCUCAUGACGGUACCGUAAGAAUAAGCACCGGCUAACUACGUGCCAGCCGCCGCCGUAA